rnacentral:rRNA from 1 species
GACGAACGCUGGCGGCGUGCUUAACACAUGCAAGUCGAACGAAGUGGCGAACGGGUGAGUAAUACGUGGGUAACCUGCCCUCCUUUUUGGGAUAAGCCUUGGAAACGGGGUCUAAUACAGACUAAAGGGGGAUGGGCUCGCGGCCUAUCAGCUGGUUGGUGGGGUGAUGGCCUACCAAGGCGGUGACGGGUAGCCGGACUGAGAGGGUGACCGGGCACAGUGGGACGGAGAUACGGCCCAGACGCCGACGGGAGGGAGCAGUGGGGGAUAUUGCACAAUGUGCGAAAGCCUGAUGCAGCGACGCCGCGUGGGGGAUGAAGGUUUUCGGGUUGUAAACCUCUUUCGCAAGCGAACGGGUAGGUGGAGAAGAAGCGACGGCUAACUACGUGCCAGCAGCCGCGGUAAUAC